ensembl:snoRNA SNORA70 Small nucleolar RNA SNORA70
CUACAGCCAAUUAAGCUGACUGAGCUCUCUCCCCAUUGGGGCCCAGUGUGCAAUGGCGGCAAAUAGGAGCCUCCUUGGCUAUGCAGCUUGCUGCUUGUACGGGUUGCCCUAAGGGACCUUGGAGACAGCC